GGUGAGAUGGCCGAGUGGUCUAAGGCGCUAGAUUUAGGAGACUAUCUUGUCUUUUCAAGAUGUUUCAAAUCUCUAGUCUUUCGAGGCGUGGGUUCGAAUCCCACUCUCAUCA